rnacentral:rRNA from 1 species
AACGAACGCUGGCGGCAGGCCUAACACAUGCAAGUCGAACGCCCUAGCAAUAGGGAGUGGCAGACGGGUGAGAAACACGUGGGAACCUCCCCUAUAGUACGGAAUAGCUCAGGGAAACUUGAAGUAAUACCGUAUACGCCCGAGAGGGGAAAGAUUUAUCGCUAUAGGAUGGGCCCGCGUCGGAUUAGCUAGUUGGUGAGGUAAUGGCUCACCAAGGCGACGAUCCGUAGCUGGUUUGAGAGAACGACCAGCCACACUGGGACUGAGACACGGCCCAGACUCCUACGGGAGGCAGCAGUGGGGAAUAUUGGACAAUGGGCGCAAGCCUGAUCCAGCCAUGCCGCGUGAGUGAUGAAGGCCUUAGGGUUGUAAAGCUCUUUAGCAGGGAAGAUAAUGACUGUACCUGCAGAAUAAGCUCCGGCUAACUUCGUGCCAGCAGCCGCGGUAAU